rnacentral:rRNA from 1 species
GAUAUUAAAUAUUUAUAGGAUAGAGAUGGGCUCGCGUGACAUUAGCUAGUUGGUAGGGUAACGGCUUACCAAGGCGACGAUGUCUAGGGGCUCUGAGAGGAGAAUCCCCCACACUGGUACUGAGACACGGACCAGACUCCUACGGGAGGCAGCAGUAAGGAAUAUUGGUCAAUGGGCGGAAGCCUGAACCAGCCAUGCCGCGUGCAGGAUGACUGCCCUAUGGGUUGUAAACUGCUUUUGUCCAGGAAUAAACCUUUCUACGUGUAGGAAGCUGAAUGUACUGGAAGAAUAAGGAUCGGCUAACUCCGUGCCAGCAGCCGCGGUAAUACGGAGGAUCCGAGCGUUAUCCGGAUUUAUUGGGUUUAAAGGGUGCGUAGGCGGCCUAUUAAGUCAGGGGUGAAAUACGGUGGCUCAACCAUCGCAGUGCCUUUGAUACUGAUGGGCUUGAAUCCAUUUGAAGUGGGCGGAAUAAGACAAGUAGCGGUGAAAUGCAUAGAUAUGUCUUAGAACUCCGAUUGCGAAGGCAGCUCACUAAGCUGGUAUUGACGCUGAUGCACGAAAGCGUGGGGAUCGAACAGGAUUAGAUACCCUGGUAGUCCACGCCCUAAACGAUGAUAACUCGAUGUUGGCGAUAGACAGCCAGCGUCCAAGCGAAAGCGUUAAGUUAUCCACCUGGGGAGUACGCCCGCAAGGGUGAAACUCAAAGGAAUUGACGGGGGCCCGCACAAGCGGAGGAGCAUGUGGUUUAAUUCGAUGAUACGCGAGGAACCUUACCCGGGCUUGAAAGUUAGUGAAGAGUGCAGAGACGCACUCGUCCUUCGGGACACGAAACUAGGUGCUGCAUGGCUGUCGUCAGCUCGUGCCGUGAGGUGUUGGGUUAAGUCCCGCAACGAGCGCAACCCCUAUGUUUAGUUGCCAGCAUUUAAGGUGGGGACUCUAAACAGACUGCCUGUGCAAACAGAGAGGAAGGUGGGGACGACGUCAAGUCAUCAUGGCCCUUACGUCCGGGGCUACACACGUGCUACAAUGGAUGGUACAGCGGGCAGCUACAUAGCAAUAUGAUGCUAAUCUCUAAAAGCCAUUCAUA